UUUUCCCCAAUUUGGUAGAUGUCAGGCUGGAAGCAAUUAAUUCUCAAAUGAUAUGGGACAGUCAACUUCCAGUAAUUUCUGAUGGCUAUAAAAAUUUGACUAGUUUGGUCAUCAAGUACAUUAAAAAACUAAAAUAUGUAUUCCCAUAUUCUUUGGUGAAAAACUUUGAAAAACUCCAACACUUCCAGAUAAGUUCUUGUAAGGAGUUGAAGGAGAUUGUCGCCGAAGAAGGAGCAGAAGCACCUCCUACAUUUAUCUUUCCAUCGGUAGAAUUCUUAAAACUAGAAAACUUACCCGAACUUAAAACUUUCUACCCUGGAAUACACACUUCAGAAUGGCCAAGUUUAAAGAAGUUGGAAGUGUCUAGAUGUGACAAACUACAAAUAUGCACUUCAGAAUGCAAGGUUGUUUUACCCGAUUUGGAGGCCUUAGAACUGCAGGGAACCAAUACCGAAAAGAUCUGGCACUCUCAACUUCUAAAAACAUCUUCUGGCCCCCGAAAAUUGACCCGUUUGAUCUUGAAGAACUAUGAAAAACUAAAAUACGUAUUUCCAUCUUCUAUGAUCAAAAGUUUCGAGCAGCUCCAACACCUCGAGAUAAGCACUUGUAAAGAACUAAAGGAGGUUGUUACCAAAGAAGACGGUGAAGAAAGAAUUGCUAAAUUUGACUUUCCGCAUGUGGCUUUCUUAAAACUUAAUGACUUGCCAGAAUUUACAACUUUUUGCCUUGGGAUAUCUACUUUAGAGUGGCCCUGGCCCAAGUUAAAGGAGCUGGAAGUGUCUAAUUGUGACAAAUUGCUGCAUUCAGAAAAUAAGAUUAGCGCCAAUUUGGAGGAAUUGGAAUUGGUAUUAAGAGUGGACAACAUGAUGACAUGGCAGUGUUUACUUCCAGAAAACUUCUCUUGCAAAUAUACUGUUGAGAUCAGUGGUGAUAAAUCAACAAAUAUUCCACUUGACAUCCUUCAAAGAUCUUUUGAUUUGGAAAAACUCAUACUAAGUACGAGUUCAUACAAAGAAAUAUUCUCAUAUGGAUUGCACGAUAGACAUACAGGGACAUUGCUGCAGAUAAAAAGUUUAGAGUUGAAUUUUCUUUCUAAUCUAAAUAACAUAUGGAGUAAAGACUCCAAAGUGGACUAUGUUAUUCAAAAUCUUGAGGUUCUAGAAGUACACAACUGUGACAAAUUGAGAUGUGUGCUGCCACCCCUAGCAUCUUUUGCAAAUCUAACAGUUUUGAGCAUAAGUUGUUGCUGGGGAUUGAUAAAAUUAUUCACACCCUCAACAGCCAAAAGCAUGGUGCAAUUGAGGGAAGUAAAAAUUCGGUCAUGCAAUAUGCUAAAAGAAGUGGUAUCAAAUGAGGAAGACGUUGGAGUAGAAGAUGGAAUUGUUUUUGACAAAUUGAAGUUGUUGUCACUUUUCAAAUUAGAAAGUCUCACAUGUUUCUGUUAUGGGAAUUUCACUUUCAAAUUCCCAGCUUUGGAAGAAUUAAUUGUGGAAGGCUGCCCCAACAUGAAGACGUUCGCUGAAGGAGACACAAGUGCACCAUGUUUACAAAAAGUAAAGAGGUACACACGGGGGAUGGAAGGAUAUUGGAAAAGUGACCUUAAUACAACUAUACAACAAUUAUACAAAAAAGGUAAACUCCAAUUUUGAGAGAUUGACAUUAAGUGGAAAAGACAUCAUGUCUAUGUGGCCAAAUCAGUUUCCAGAACAUCGGUUUUCCGAAGUGAAAGUUGUUAAUGUUAUUCAAAAUGAACCAACAAAUAUUCCCAUUGAAAUCCUUCAGAGAUUUAACAAUCUUGAAACGCUCGUAUUAAAAGGAAAUUCAUGCCAAGAGUUGUUCUCAUGUGGAGAGGUUGAGAAACAUGCAGGGAUGCUCACACAUAUUAAACAGUUAGAGCUUGAGGGACUUUUCAAUUUGAAGCACAUGUGGAAACAAGAUUCUCAUCAGGUCUCAAUUCUUCGAAAUCUUGAAGAGCUAUCAGUGUAUCAUUGUCACAAUUUGAUUAAUCUAGUGCCAUCUUCAGCAUCUUUUGACAAUCUAAUAACUCUGGAUGUACGGAAAUGUGAUGGAUUGGUAAACUUAGUAACAUCCUCAACGGCCAAAAGUAUGGUGAACCUUGAAAAGAUGUACAUAGGAGAUUGUGAGACGAUGAUUGAAAUAAUAGCAAAUACAGGAGAUGUUGAAAAAGAUGAAAUUGUAUUUAGUAAAUUAAAGUCCCUAUCAAUUCGGAAUUUAGAAAGUCUUAAAAGCUUUUGCUCUGGAAAUCACACCUUUAAAUUCCCGGCUUUGGCAGACAUGAUGGUGGAAGAAUGCCCCAAGAUAAACACUUUCUCUAGAGGACUCUUAAGCACACCAAAAUUGGACAAAGUGAGGCAGACUUGGUUUGGCAAAGAAGGGCUUUGGGAGGGUGAGCUUAAUACCACUAUACAACAUCUAUUCAAGAAAGCGGUAGGUCAAGAACUUCCAGGCAGCUCUUCCAAAAGUGCUUGAACUACAUAUAUCUGCAAUGUCCAGAGCACGCCUUAGUUCCUCUUCAAAGAGUGACAAAGCGAAGCUGUGCUCCGACGCUAAAAAGGAACUAAUUCUUCCUCUCCUUUCAGUCGAGUGAUUUGAAAUUCCUCUACAACAUCGAAUUCCCCGGCAUCGGUAUAGUUCAAAGACAUCCCUCCACUGAUCAUGCUUUUUCACUUCCAAUAUAUUUUGCCAAUGAUUCAGAAAGUUCACAGCAAAGUUCAAGUAAUAAGGCCUCUAUUUAGUUUUUUGAUGCAUUGCAGCUCAUGUUCCUCUGCUUUAAGUCAGACAAUGAGAUGGAUCUUUUUUCAUCUCCAAUGUACUGCUUUUGGGCUUUCCUUCAUUGUGAUGUUGCUGGUGUGAAAAUGUAACAACGCUUAUCUCCGUCACUCAUCAUUUGAAUUGGAGCAUCGGAAUUUCAGGGGGGAUAAGGGCUCUUUUGUGAGGCAUUAUUGCUGCUUGAGUUCCCUGUGUUGAGGUUGAUUUGAACGGUAGGCUAAAAUGUUAAGAAUAAUUAAAAUUGCUGAUGUUUGAAUUGUUUCAAGGAUUUGGUUGGACUCAUUUGAACAUUGAUUGGUUUGAUAUCUCUACGUUACAGGUAGGUCAGGAACUUCCAGGCAGCUCUUCCAAAAGUGCUUGAACUACCUAUAUCUGUCAUGUCCAAAGCACACCGAAGGAUAUUCCGAGUGCUGAAAAGGAUUUGGCCAAACUUCGACGAAAUCUCUGGGAUAAGGGCUCUUUUGUGAGGCAUCAUUGCGGCUCCAGUUCGUUGUGUUGAGGAGAAUGCAGAUUUUAGCUCAGAAAACAAUGGUGUACCUUCAUCUGUGUAAAAUCCGCACCUGCCACUCACAAAUCAAGGAUUGAAUGGGGAAAGAUCAGAUGCUCUGGAAUCCCAUCUUGAAGUUCCUUGAUUUGGAAUUCAUAGUGUGCAAAAAUGCCCCAAGAUUAACACCAAACUUUACCAAGUAAAGCAGAUCUAUCAUGUCAAUGAAGAGUAUUGGGAAGGUGACCUUAACACAAAUAUACAACAUCUUCACAAGAAAGAGAAUAUCAAGAGUUCUGGAAAAAUUCAGGUCAAACGUCAAUCCAGUCUCCAGAUUAAGGCCUCUUAUCUAAAUGGUUUGUGAGAUAUUGUGGCUCUUGGUCCCUAUGUUGAAAUGAGAGAGUGGAGGGGCAUUUUGUUUGUAUCUUUAUUGGCCUGUUUUAGCCCUCCUUCAUUGUGAAUUACUUCUUUGAAAGUGUUACAGAACUUAGUUUCUUCACUCAUUUGAGGUUGAUUUGAAUAGUGGAGGUUGUUUUUCAUUCA